rnacentral:rRNA from 1 species
GAUGAACGCUAGCUACAGGCUUAACACAUGCAAGUCGAGGGGAAACGACAUCGAAAGCUUGCUUUUGAUGGGCGUCGACCGGCGCACGGGUGAGUAACGCGUAUCCAACCUGCCCACCACUUGGGGAUAACCUUGCGAAAGUAUGACUAAUACCCAAUGAUAUCUCUAGAAGACAUCUGAAAGAGAUUAAAGAUUUAUCGGUGAUGGAUGGGGAUGCGUCUGAUUAGCUUGUUGGCGGGGUAACGGCCCACCAAGGCAACGAUCAGUAGGGGUUCUGAGAGGAAGGUCCCCCACAUUGGAACUGAGACACGGUCCAAACUCCUACGGGAGGCAGCAGUGAGGAAUAUUGGUCAAUGGACGAGAGUCUGAACCAGCCAAGUAGCGUGCAGGAAGACGGCCCUAUGGGUUGUAAACUGCUUUUAUAAGGGAAUAAAGUGAGUCUCGUGAGACUUUUUGCAUGUACCUUAUGAAUAAGGACCGGCUAAUUCCGUG